rnacentral:rRNA from 1 species
UACGUAGGGGGCAAGCGUUGUCCGGAAUUAUUGGGCGUAAAGAGCGCGUAGGCGGUCCGAUAAGUCGGCUGUGAAAGUCAUGGGCUCAACCCAUGAAAGCCGGCCGAUACUGUCGGACUAGAGUUCGGAAGAGGCGAGUGGAAUUCCCGGUGUAGCGGUGAAAUGCGCAGAUAUCGGGAGGAACACCAAUGCGAAGGCAGCUCGCUGGGACGAUACUGACG